rnacentral:rRNA from 1 species
GACGAACGCUGGCGGCGUGCCUAAUACAUGCAAGUUGAGCGCUGAAGGUUGGUACUUGUACCAACUGGAUGAGCAGCGAACGGGUGAGUAACGCGUGGGGAAUCUGCCUUUGAGCGGGGGACAACAUUUGGAAACGAAUGCUAAUACCGCAUAAAAACUUUAAACACAAGUUUUAAGUUUGAAAGAUGCAAUUGCAUCACUCAAAGAUGAUCCCGCGUUGUAUUAGCUAGUUGGUGAGGUAAAGGCUCACCAAGGCGAUGAUACAUAGCCGACCUGAGAGGGUGAUCGGCCACAUUGGGACGGAGACACGGCCCAAACUCCUACGGGAGGCAGCAGUAGGGAAUCUUCGGCAAGAGACGAAAGUCUGACCGAGCAACGCCGCGUGAGUGAAGAAGGUUUUCGGAUCGUAAAACUCUGUUGGUAGAGAAGAACGUUGGUGAGAGUGGAAAGCUCAUCAAGUGACGGUAACUACCCAGAAAGGGACGGCUAACUACGUG